rnacentral:rRNA from 1 species
AUUGAACGCUGGCGGCAGUCCUAACACAUGCAAGUCGAACGAGUGGCGGACGGGUGAGUAAUGUCUGGGAAACUGCCUGAUGGUGGGGGAUAACUACUGGAAACGGUAGCUAAUACCGCAUACCAUCAGAUGUGCCCAGAUGGGAUUAGCUUGUUGGUGGGGUAACGGCUUACCAAGGCGACGAUCCCUAGCUGGUCUGAGAGGAUGAACGUCCACACUGGAACUGAGACACGGUCCAGACUCCAACGGGAGGCAGCAGUGGGGAAUAUUGCAAAAUGGGAGGAAGCCUGAUGCAGCCAUGCCGCGUGUAUGAAGAAGGCCUUCGGGUUGUAAAGUACUUUCAGCGGGGAGGCGUUACCAGCAGAAGAAGCACCGGCUAACUCCGUGCCAGCAGCCGCGGUAAUUC